AUUGAACGCUGGCGGCAGGCCUAACACAUGCAAGCCGAGCGGUAGAGAGAAGCUUGCUUCUCUUGAGAGCGGCGGACGGGUGAGUAAUGCCUAGGAAUCUGCCUGGUAGUGGGGGAUAACGUUCGGGAACGGACGCUAAUACCGCAUACGUCCUACGGGAGAAAGCAGGGGACCUUCGGGCCUUGCGCUAUCAGAUGAGCCUAGGUCGGAUUAGCUAGUUGGUGAGGUAAUGGCUCACCAAGGCGACGAUCCGUAACUGGUCUGAGAGGAUGAUCAGCAACACUGGAACUGAGACACGGUCCAGACUCCUACGGGAGGCAGCAGUGGGGAAUAUUGGACAAUGGGCGAAAGCCUGAUCCAGCCAUGCCGCGUGUGUGAAGAAGGUCUUCGGAUUGUAAAGCACUUUAAGUUGGGAGGAAGGGUUGUAGAUUAAUACUCUGCAAUUUUGACGUUACCGACAGAAUAAGCACCGGCUAACUCUGUGCCAGCCGCCGCCGUAA
rnacentral:rRNA from 1 species